GGAAGGGCUAGCUGCAAAAACCCAAACUAUCUGCUCACCUACUUAGAAAUCAAAGAGGACGCUUAAUUCAGUGAUGAACCGAAAGGAUUGAAAUACUGCUGUGGAUAAGAAUGAGGACAAGGAUUUUGAACUGUUUUCUCCCUGUAUCCCCUGGAUCUGGAACAAUGCUUGUCACACGGUCAACUUCUGGUUAUGCAAAUACUUAUGAGAGCUCCUAGCACAAUUAAUUUUUUUUUUAAUUAAAGCUAUUCUGGAGAAAAGAUCUUGUUAUGAGAAAGCGAUGUUGAAAAAGUUUCUUCAAUUGAAAACCCAUCUCAUAAGGUUUCUGAGAGGACGAAAUGAUAAAAUUUACGUACAGGACUCGGCACAUCGCCUGACACAUGAAUUUGGGGGGUAUUAUUCUCCUCUGAAACUACUUCAACUCUUUGUGGAAUGAGGUAUAAUAUAAUUAACCAAACGAAAAUAAAGCAUAACCAUGAGAGCUUCA